rnacentral:rRNA from 1 species
UGGAAUGUACGUGGCCUUGGCGAUAACGAUAAAUGCGCUGACGUUCUCUCGGAACUAGUGACGACUAAGCCACAUGUCACCCUCUUGCAAGAAUCAAAGCUCGACAUCCUUCCUGUCCCUAAACUAAAAUCUUUCCUGCCAUGCACGCUUGAUCAAGCUUUCUCGCUACCAGCCGUCGGAUCCGCAGGUGGCACUAUCUCUGCCAUCAACUCUGCCUUUUUCCAAGUCGUCUCUUACUCACACCUAACCUUCUCCUCUACCCUAGUCCUACGAACAGUUGCGUGCACCCAACCCAUUGCUAUCACAAACAUCUACGCUCCAUCAUCACGACCACUCAAGCAAGCUUUUUUAAACGAACUCUCAUCCAUCUCACAACCCGACGACACCCUCUGGAUUAUCGCUGGUGACUUUAACCUCAUCCGCUUCCCCUUUGAGAAAAACAACCCUGCAUUCCGCCACGCUGAAGCCACUGAUUUUAACCAAACCUUGGAUGAUCUAGCCCUCAUCGAACUGCCUCUACUUGAUCGCAGGUUCACCUGGUCGAACAAUCGAGCUACUCCCACCUUAGAACGACUAGAUCGGGUUUUCUUUAACGCAUGGGCGGACGCCUUCCCUAACACCUCACUGUCCUCUCGCACACGUUUCACGUCUGAUCAC